AUUGAACGCUGGCGGCAGGCUUAACACAUGCAAGUCGAGCGGGGGAAGGUAGCUUGCUACCGGACCUAGCGGCGGACGGGUGAGUAGUGCUUAGGAAUCUGCCUAUUAGUGGGGGACAACAUCUCAAAAGGGAUGCUAAUACCGCAUACGUCCUACGGGAGAAAGCAGGGGAUCACUUGUGACCUUGCGCUAAUAGAUGAGCCUAAGUCGGAUUAGCUAGUUGGUGGGGUAAAGGCCUACCAAGGCGACGAUCUGUAGCGGGUCUGAGAGGAUGAUCCGCCACACUGGGACUGAGACACGGCCCAGACUCCUACGGGAGGCAGCAGUGGGGAAUAUUGGACAAUGGGGGGAACCCUGAUCCAGCCAUGCCGCGUGUGUGAAGAAGGCCUUAUGGUUGUAAAGCACUUUAAGCGAAGAGGAGGCUCUUUUGGUUAAUACCCAAGAUGAGUGGACGUUACUCGCAGAAUAAGCACCGGCUAACUCUGUGCCAGCCGCCGCCGUAA
rnacentral:rRNA from 1 species